UGGCGACCGGCGCACGGGGUGAGUAACACGUAUCCAACCUGCCGAUAACUCGGGGAUAGCCUUUCGAAAGAAAGAUUAAUAUCCGAUAGCAUAUCAAGAUCGCAUGAUCUUGAUAUUAAAGAAUUUCGGUUAUCGAUGGGGAUGCGUUCCAUUAGUUAGUUGGCGGGGUAACGGCCCACCAAGGCGACGAUGGAUAGGGGGUUCUGAGAGGAAGGUCCCCCACAUUGGAACUGAGACACGGUCCAAACUCCUACGGAAGGCAGCAG
rnacentral:rRNA from 1 species